GCAACUCUGGCAGCACUAAAAUUUAAAUGAACAGUUAAAUGUGACUAUAGCACACCUAAAUCUUUAAGGUCUAACUCAAAAAGAAGAUGCUGCCACAUUACAGUGGAACAGGGCUGUCACUGCUCCCAUUUUAACACAGGCCCUCACAAUCCAUUUUAACAUGAAAAUGGUAUUAAGAACUCUGCCAAAUGCUGGAAGGAAAAAGGUCCAUCCGUUCAAGAAACAUCGUAGUUGGGGCAACAAAACAAUAAACAGUUAUGGGAUUUGUGAUCUUCAUUAAGUGCAAUGGAAUCUCAGAGAAGAAAUAUCCUGAGUCAGGAUGGCCAGAAAAGGAUUCAUGGAAGAAGGGGGACUGAAACUAGGCUAUAAGAAGGACAAAGGGAACAACAGCAUGCACAAAAGCAAAGUAGUGAGUAUGGCAAAAACUACCGUAUUUGAGAGGCCGGCAAGAAUCCCAACUAAGAGUGAGAAAUAAAGCUGAAUAGGUAGAAUGGAACCUUCUUAAAAGCCAGACUGAAGCAUACAAAUUCAAUCCAGUUGGCAAAGAGAAUCCAUUAUGGGUUCUCCAGCAGGGGAACUGACAAGAUGAAACCAGUACUUUAAAUAAAUUACACUGUCAGUAGUUACAGAAGAUAAAAUGAAUAAGAAAGGUUGCUCAGGGCAACCAAAUAAAAACUUAAUAAUCCAGACCUACAACCAUUCAUUCAUUGAGAAGACAGACUGCUAGGUAACAACACUGGCCUAGAAUUCACACAAACUGGGCCUAAAUUCCUGCUCUGUCCCCUACUACCUGAGCCUCAAUUUUCUCACUGUUAAAUUCAGGCAUCAGCACUCAGACUGUCACAGUACUUGUCAAAGCACCUGUAUAGUCCUGAUACAUAGAACUUUUGACUAUUAGCAAAGUGAACACUAGUGCUAAAUUAAGUAUGGUUAAAAAUGGGAAGUGAACAUAAGAUAAGGCUCAUAGAGGAACUGAACUUCUAAGGACAACUAUCUAGACAGCAUCUGAUAAUACGGAAAAGAAUACACAGAUAAAAAGUGGUCAGGAAAAAUAAAAUAAAACCACCUACCCAAAGUAAUCACUACAGCCUAAAAGGCAGACCCUAGGUUCUGCUGGACCCAAACCUUGAAAGAGUUCCCUUUGUAUUUAAAGAGUUUGCCUGGCACGGUGGCUCAUGCCUGUAAUCCCAGCACUUUGGGAGGCCGAGACGGGCGGUCAGGAGUUCGAGACCAGCCUGACCAACAUGGUGAAACCCCAUCUCUACUAAAGAUACAAGAAAUUAGCCAGGCAAGUGACAGGCGCCUGUAAUCCCAGCUACUUGGGAGGCUGAGGUAGGGGAAUCGCUUGAACCCGGGAGGCAGAGGUUGCAGUGAGCCGAGAUCGCACCAUUGCACUCCAGCAUGGGUGACAGAGCAAGACUCUGUCUCAAAAAAAAAAAAAAAAGAGUUGAAGCUGGGCGCGGUGGCUCACCAAGACUGCAUCUUAUUAAAUGGUGCUAGGGAAUUCAGCACAAUGAUAUGAGUUCUAUCAAUUUCAUUUACCCAUGUAAUCACUCGACCCAUUUAGUACAGACGCUCAACUAUAGAUCAUAAACUUGAUUAGAAACACAAGUUUUUGGAAGGAUGAUCUACACGGAUCAAGACUAACAAAACAGCUGGGAAAAUUCCGCAGAUUCAGUCAUCUAAGACAGACCCAGGUUUGAAUCCUAGUGUUCAUUUAAUAAUUUUGUGGCCUUGAACAAGGGAAUUAACUUCUUUGCAUCUCUGUUUCAUCAUCCACAAAAAAAGCCCAACACUAUCUACCUCAUAGGAUUAGCCUAGGGUAUAAACAGCAUAGAAAGCACCUCACACCUCCUAGAGCAUAGCCCGGAGCACCUAGUCCCUCUCCUCUGGCUCUAUGGUUACAGGGCAAUUAAUUGCACUCUUACCGAAUCCAAUCCCAGAGGGGUAAACAGCCAAAUCUCUCCAGCAUCAGCGCUCUCAGAGUCUUUUCUUUUUAACUUCAAGUUUCUAUUGGUGGCAGAGCAGGAGAUACCACCUUCGUGGUACCUAAACUGAACGAUACUCAACAAUUCUUUACUACACAGCUCUAGGGUCCUAGCCCUCCUCUACUACCAGAAUGUCUGAGCAUAAAGUAUAAAUGUCUCGUGUUAGCUGCUUUCCUUUUUUG
rnacentral:lncRNA from 1 species